rnacentral:lncRNA from 1 species
UCACUAUCGAACAAGGAGAGUUACUUGUUGAGAAUUUGGCCGAAAGUGAUCAAAGGUGCAAUGAGAUAUGUGAUAAAUCGUCUAUAGAGAUAUCACAAGAUGGUUACACGUGGAGAUAUUUGCAAGAUAAAUUAGAGAAUGUGGAGAAGUUCUUGAAGAUGCAACAACAACAAGAGGGAUUAUGCCAAGUUCAACAAGAGCAAGG